rnacentral:lncRNA from 1 species
UUUAGAUAAAUUUCAAACUUUUCCUUUGUUUUUUUCUUUUUGCCUCUUUUCUAGGGAUGUCAAUGGAUAUGGAUAUUCGAAAUUUUAUCUGAACCCGAAUCCGAAUGAAACGGAUAUAUCCGAUGGAUACGGAUAUCAAAAAUAGAAACCCGACGGAUAUGGAUUCAGAUAUGGAUUUUGAUUGUACCCGACCCGAACCCGAACCCGACCCGAACCCGAAUUUAUUUUGUAUUAUAUAUAAUAUAUAUAUAAAAAUUUGAUGUUAUAUUUGAAUUUGUAUUUUAAAAAUUUAGGUUUAAUAUAAUAUAUUUUGAAAUAUUGAAAAAAGAAAUAAUUGUUUCGGGUUUAAAUUUUCGGGUUCGGGUUCGGGUUUCGAAUUUUUUGUUGGAUUCCGGUUUGGAUAUAGAUUUUUAAAAUCCGUUGGGUUCAGGUUCGAGUUCGGGUCUCGGAUUUGGAGUCGGGUUUGGGUUCGGAUUUUUAAAAAUCCACCCCGAAUCCGACCCGUUGACAUCUCUACUCUUUUCUCC